rnacentral:piRNA from 1 species
UCAAUCAUCAUUAACUAUAUA